UACAGAGGUCUCAAGCGUUGUUCGGAUUCAUUGGGCGUAAAGGGUGCGUAGGCGGCGCGGUAAGUCGGGUGUGAAAUCUCGGGGCUUAACUCCGAAACUGCAUUCGAUACUGCCGUGCUUGAGGACUGGAGAGGAGACUGGAAUUUACGGUGUAGCAGUGAAAUGCGUAGAUAUCGUAAGGAAGGCCGGUGGCGAAAGCGAGCCUCUGGACAGUUACUGACGCUGAUGCACGAAGGCCAGGGGAGCAAACGGG
rnacentral:rRNA from 1 species